UCCCAUCUCACGAGUACCGGCGGCGAUGGCAUGUGGACUUGGAGGCGACGCCGCCGGCGCGAGGACCUGGGGCGACGCCACCAUCUUGCGAACCUGAGUCUAGGGCCGCCUUUCCGACGCGCCUCCCGAGCCGUUCCUCAGAUCGAGCGCCGCGGCGGCUCUCCCAGGCCGCACCAUCAUCGAAGCCGCAGCCGCUCCGCGGAAGUCGAUGGAGACCUGCUCCUACAGCGGCCCUAAAGAUUUGAAGCUCUAGUUUGGUCUUCUUUUGAUUUGACAACUUUGUGUUUGAAGGGUGCUUUUUCAGACAACCUUCAGUAUCGAGGCAAGUUCAUGACCGACCUCUUUCAUUGUAUGCAUGGUUGUCUUGUUGCUUGUGCUUCAGUGUACUUUGUUCUUCACAUUUGGUGUUUGAACCUCGGGCCAAGCCAUCCUGCCAUUUUGUCUCCGCCUCGAUGAGAUGAACUCCCGGGCCAAAGGAAUUGUCCCUGGGGGCCCUCCACAGCAUGAUGGAUCGCAAGGACGAACGGUUCCGAAGAUCUGCUCUCCCGCAAAAUGAUGCACGCUGGCGUUCAGGAUAGAGUAGACUACUGUGGCAGAGAAAGUUGCGAGAUGAGGCAAAACCUCAGGUGUUUUCAAUGUAUCUUUGGCCGAGGUCGGUAAGCAGUAUAUAUAGGUGAACCAGAAGCGGUAUUGUGUUGCGACCACAAUCUCAAAUCGACUUGGUUUCCAAGUCGAACUUACCGGACAAGCAAACAACGAACUUGUCCGUCAAGACACCAAAAAAAUAAAACGGCAAAAGGAAGUUGCGCCCCCGCAAGACAAAAGACCGGAUUUCGAUGGACCAUUCAUGCAUAUCAGAUGAUAUAAAUGAAGUGAUGGAGGCUCAUAACCAAAUCCUGGACAUAAUGGGGAAUGACAUAUUCAUCAAGGGGUUUUUUCUCUGGAACUGUGGACAAAUUCAAGAUGGUGUUCAAGACCAAAUCGAGCAGGGGAUGGGAACCCUCGUGGCCUGGCGUCGUUCCUCGGCUCUUCAUACUAGUGUACUACCUGACCAGGUAGAAGGAUCCUUGGGUUGGGCGUGCUUGCGGGGCGCGGCCCCGACUCAGCGUCCGUCCACCGCGCCAGGUAACCUGACCUAACCCGGCCGGGCAGGCGUGGGCGUUGCUGCGGCGCGUGAGGUCAAGUCCGGUGUGCCGGCGGCCGAUGGAGACGAUGCGCAAGUCCGGCUGCCGGUUGUUGCUGACCUCGCUGCCAGCGGAGGACGUCGACGCACGGCGCAACGUGGUCAUCGUCGACGGGCCGAGCGGGGCGGGGCCAGCGAGCCAGGGAAGAUGGGCGCCAGCAAAAAAAACAUCGAAGCGACGAGUGAUGCUGGAUAGGAAACGAGCCACGAUCGAUUCGUUCGGCAGUUUUGCAAAAAAAAAAACUCUAGUCUGCGAGUUACAUAUUUCCUUGACGAAUCUACCCCUUGAAUAAAAAACUGGUCCCACAA